rnacentral:rRNA from 1 species
AUUGAACGCUGGCGGCGUGCUUAACACAUGCAAGUCGAUCGGUAACGCGGGGGCAACCCUGGCGACGAGAGGCGGACGGGUGAGGAACGCUUGGGAAUCUGCCUAUCAGCGGGGGACAACACGGGGAAACUCGUGCUAAUACCGCAUACGCUCUACGGAGGAAAGCCGGGGACCGCAAGGCCUGGCACUGAUAGAUGAGCCCAAGCCGGAUUAGCUAGUUGGCGGGGUAACGGCCCACCAAGGCGACGAUCCGUAGCUGGUCUGAGAGGACGACAAGCCACACUGGGACUGAGACACGGCCCAGACUCCUACGGGAGGCAGCAGUGGGGAAUAUUGGACAAUGGGGGAAACCCUGAUCCAGCGACGCCGCGUGGGUGAAGAAGGCCUGCGGGUUGUAAAGCCCUUUCGGUAGGGACGAAAGCUCUCGACCUAACACGUCGGGAGGUUGACUUAACCUACAAAAGAAGCACCGGCUAACUCUGUGCCAGCCGCCGCCGUAACAC